CGUUCAAACCCAAAAACGCUCAACCGCCAUAAAAUCACUCGAGAAGAGAAUAUUUCACACCAUAUUGAUUUCCAUAUGUGUGUGUGUGUGUGUGUGUGUGUGUGUGUAGAGAGAGAGAGAGAGAGAGAGAGAGAGAGAGAGAUGGAAAAUCAAGGAACUAACACGGAAUUUAGAGAACUCCGUGCAAGUGUGAGAUCAUAUGUAAGAAUCAUAGGUCAAUGGGAGAUACUUGGUUGAUUUGUCUUGAAAAAAAAACAAACAUUAUGGCGAUGACU